rnacentral:rRNA from 1 species
GACGAACGCUGGCGGCGUGCUUAAUACAUGCAAGUCGAACGGACAGGCCCUGCUCUUGUGGGGUGCUCGAGUGGCGAACGGGUGAGUAAAACGUGAGUAACAUGCCCUUGUCUUAGGGAUAAAUUCAGGAAACUGGGGCUCAUAUCGGAUAGGAGCUCUUGCUGCAUGGUGGGGGUUGGAAAGUUUCGGCGGUUGGGGAUGGACUCGCGGCUUAUCCGCUUGUUGGUCGGGUAGUGGAUUACCAAGGCUUUGACGGGUAGCCGGCCUGAGAGGGUGGCCGGCCACAUUGGGACUAAGAUACGGCCCAGACGCCUACGGUAGGCAGCAGUGGAGAGUAUUGCACAAUGGGCGGAAGCCAGAUGCAGCAACGCCGCGUGCGGGAUGACGGCCUUCGGGUGAUAAACCGCUGUCGCCUGUGACGAAGCGUGAGUGACGGUAAUGGGUAAAGAAGCACCGGCUAACUACGUG